AGGACUGUAGUUAAGUAUAACAUUUGAUUUGCAUUCAAAAGGUAUUGUUUAUCAAUCUGUCUUA
rnacentral:tRNA from 1 species